rnacentral:rRNA from 1 species
UACGUAGGGUGCGAGCGUUAAUCGGAAUUACUGGGCGUAAAGAGUGCGUAGGCGGUUCGUUAUGUCUGUGGUGAAAUCCCCGGGCUCAACCCGGGAACUGCGUCCGAUACUGGAAGGCUUGAAUCCGGGAGAGGGAUGCGGAAUUCCAGGUGUAGCGGUGAAAUGCGUAGAUAUCUGGAGGAACACCGGUGGCGAAGGCGGCAUCCUGGACCGGCAUUGACGCUGAGGCGCGAAAGCGUGGGGAGCGAACAGG